rnacentral:rRNA from 1 species
GAGCUUGCUCCUUUGACGUUAGCGGCGGACGGGUGAGUAACACGUGGGUAACCUACCUAUAAGACUGGAAUAACUCCGGGAAACCGGGGCUAAUGCCGGAUAACAUGUUGAACCGCAUGGUUCUACAGUGAAAGACGGUCUUGCUGUCACUUAUAGAUGGACCCGCGCCGUAUUAGCUAGUUGGUGGGGUAACGGGCCUACCAAGGCGACGAUACGUAGCCGACCUGAGAGGGUGAUCGGCCACACUGGAACUGAGACACGGUCCAGACUCCUACGGGAGGCAGCAGUAGGGAAUCUUCCGCAAUGGGCGAAAGCCUGACGGAGCAACGCCGCGUGAGUGAUGAAGGUCUUCGGAUCGUAAAGCUCUGUUGUUAGGGAAGAACAAAUGUGUAAGUAACUGUGCACAUCUUGACGGUACCUAACCAGAAAGCCACGGCUAACUACGUGCCAGCAGCCGCGGUAAUACGUAGGUGGCAAGCGUUAUCCGGAAUUAUUGGGCGUAAAGCGCGCGUAGGCGGUUUUUUAAGUCUGAUGUGAAAGCCCACGGCUCAACCGUGGAGGGUCAUUGGAAACUGGAAAACUUGAGUGCAGAAGAGGAAAGUGGAAUUCCAUGUGUAGCGGUGAAAUGCGCAGAGAUAUGGAGGAACACCAGUGGCGAAGGCGGCUUUCUGGUCUGCAACUGACGCUGAUGUGCGAAAGCGUGGGGAUCAAACAGGAUUAGAUACCCUGGUAGUCCACGCCGUUAACGAUGAGU